UGUACCUACGGGACGCAGCAGUGAGGAAUAUUGGUCGAUGGGCGAGAGCCUGAUCCAGCUAUUCCGCGUGUGGGAUGAAGGCCCUCGGGUUGUAAACCACUUUUGUAGAGAACGAAAAGACACCUUCGAAUAAAGGGUGUUGCUGACGGUACUCUAAGAAUAAGCACCGGCUAACUACGUGCCAGCAGCCGCGGUAAUACGUAGGGUGCGAGCGUUAAUCGGAAUUACUGGGCGUAAAGGGUGCGCAGGCGGUUGAGUAAGACGGAUGUGAAAUCCCCGAGCUUAACUCGGGAAUGGCAUAUGUG
rnacentral:rRNA from 1 species